GGGUUGUAAACUCUUUCAGCAGGGAAGAAGCGCAAGUGACGGUACCUGCAGAAGAAGCGCCGGCUAACUACGUGCCAGCAGCCGCGGUAAUACGUAGGGCGCAAGCGUUGUCCGGAAUUAUUGGGCGUAAAGAGCUCGUAGGCGGUUUGUCGCGUCUGGUGUGAAAACUCGAGGCUCAACCUCGAGCUUGCAUCGGGUACGGGCAGACUAGAGUGCGGUAGGGGAGACUGGAAUUCCUGGUGUAGCGGUGGAAUGCGCAGAUAUCAGGAGGAACACCGAUGGCGAAGGCAGGUCUCUGGGCCGCAACUGACGCUGAGGAGCGAAAGCAUGGGGAGCGAACAGGAUUAGAUACCCUGGUAGUCCAUGCCGUAAACGUUGGGCACUAGGUGUGGGGCUCAUUCCACGAGUUCCGUGCCGCAGCAAACGCAUUAAGUGCCCCGCCUGGGGAGUACGGCCGCAAGGCUAAAACUCAAAGGAAUUGACGGGGGCCCGCACAAGCGGCGGAGCAUGCGGAUUAAUUCGAUGCAACGCGAAGAACCUUACCAAGGCUUGACAUGCACGGGAAGCCACCAGAGAUGGUGGUCUCUUUGGACACUCGUGCACAGGUGGUGCAUGGUUGUCGUCAGCUCGUGUCGUGAGAUGUUGGGUUAAGUCCCGCAACGAGCGCAACCCUCGUCCCAUGUUGCCAGCGGGUUAUGCCGGGGACUCAUGGGAGACUGCCGGGGUCAACUCGGAGGAAGGUGGGGAUGACGUCAAAUCAUCAUGCCCCUUAUGUCUUGGGCUUCACGCAUGCUACAAUGGCCGGUACAAAGGGCUGCGAUACCGUAAGGUGGAGCGAAUCCCAAAAAGCCGGUCUCAGUUCGGAUUGGGGUCUGCAACUCGACCCCAUGAAGUCGGAGUCGCUAGUAAUCGCAGAUCAGCAACGCUGCGGUGAAUACGUUCCCGGGCCUUGUACACACCGCCCGUCAAGUCACGAAAGUCGGUAACACCCGAAGCCCAUGGCCCAACCGUUCGCGGGGGGAGUGGUCGAAGGUGGAACGGCG
rnacentral:rRNA from 1 species